rnacentral:miRNA from 1 species
UCUUCUUCUUCUUCUUCUCC